GAUGAACGCUGGCGGCGUGCCUAAUACAUGCAAGUCGAGCGAACAGACGAGGAGCUUGCUCCUCUGACGUUAGCGGCGGACGGGUGAGUAACACGUGGAUAACCUACCUAUAAGACUGGGAUAACUUCGGGAAACCGGAGCUAAUACCGGAUAAUAUAUUGAACCGCAUGGUUCAAUAGUGAAAGACGGUUUUGCUGUCACUUAUAGAUGGAUCCGCGCCGCAUUAGCUAGUUGGUAAGGUAACGGCUUACCAAGGCAACGAUGCGUAGCCGACCUGGGAGGGUGAUCGGCCACACUGGAACUGAGACACGGUCCAGACUCCUACGGGAGGCAGCAGUAGGGAAUCUUCCGCAAAGGGCGAAAGCCUGACGGAGCAACGCCGCGUGAGUGAUGAAGGUCUUCGGAUCGUAAAACUCUGUUAUUAGGGAAGAACAAAUGUGUAAGUAACUAUGCACGUCUUGACGGUACCUAAUCAGAAAGCCACGGCUAACUACGUG
rnacentral:rRNA from 1 species